ACCUGGUUGAUCCUGCCAGUAGCAUAUGCUUGUCUCAAAGAUUAAGUCCUCCCGGGAUGUGUGCAUUCAUCAGAAAAAGACGGAUCUUCGGUGACUAGAUAACCUUAAGCCGAUACAUUCGGAGGUCUACCAUAUCAACUUCCAAUGGCACUUUCUGUGCCUACCAUGGUGAGCACAGGUAACUGGGAAUCAGGGUUUGAUUCGGGAGAGGGAGCCUCAGAAACGUCUACCGCAUCCAAGGAAGGCAGCAGGCGUGCAAAUUACCCACUCCUGAUUCAGGGAGGUAGUGAUGUGAAAUAACAGUACAGGACUCUUACUAGGACCCAUGAUUAUGAGUACACGUCAAAUCCUUUAAUGAGGAUCGAUUGAAGGGCAAGUCUGGUGCCAUCAGCCGUGGUAAUUCCAGCUCCAAUAGCAGAUAUCAAAGUUGCUGCAGUUAAAAAUCACGUAGUUGGAUCUUGGGAUCGGCCAGCUGGUCUGCUGCGAGGCGAGCUACUGCCUGUCCCAGUUCCUGCCUCUUGGCACCCCCUUGUUGCUCUUGACAGUGUUCUGGAGGUCUGAAGCGUUAACUCAUAAAUAAUUAGAGUGUUCAAAGCUGCCUGGUCACCUGAAUGUAUGAGCUCAGAAUAAUGAAAUUGGACUAUGGUUCUAUUUUGUUGGUUUCCGGAACUGGGGCCAUGAGUCAGAAGGACUGCCGGGAUCAUUCGUAUUGUGCUGCUAAAGGUGACAUACUUGUACCGCGGCAAGGCAAACCAAAGCAAAAGCAUUAGCCAAGAAUGUUUUCACUAUUCAAGAAUGUACGUCAGAGGUUCGCACACGAUCAGAUGCCAUUGAACAUCCAACCAUAAAUGAUGCCUACUAGCGAUCGUGCAGCAUUAUUCCCAUGACCUGCAGAGCAGCUUCCGGGAUACUUAAAUCUUUGAUUUAUGGGGGGGAGUAUGGUAGCUGUAACUUAAAGGAAUUUUACAGAAGGGCACCACGAGGAGUGGAGCCAGCGGCUUCAUUUGACUGAACACGGGAAACCUCACCCGGCCUGGACACGGAGGCGUUCAAUGACUCAGAGGGCCAAGUGGCAUUCAGCCACACGAGAUAGAGUAGAGCCAUUGUAGGUCUGUGAUGGCCUUAGAUGUCCAGGGCUGCAAGCGCGCACACUGAGCUGGACCAGAAUCUGUCUCCCUUCCAUGACAGGUGCAGGUAACCCGCUGCAUCCUGUUCUUGUUAGGGAUUGGGGAUUGCAAUUAUUUCCCAUGAACAAGGAAUUCCCAGUAAGUUCGGGUCAUGAACUUGCGUUGAUUAAGCCCCUGCCCUUUGUACCACCGCCCUUUGUACACACUGCCCGUCGUUAAUACAGAUUGGAUGGUUUAGUGAGGUCCUCGGAUCGGCCCGCUGGGGUCAGCAAUGUCUCUGGUGGAGCUCUGAGAAGACGAUCAAACUUCACUAUCUAGAAGAAGUAAAAGUCAUAACAAGGUUUCCAUAGGUGAAACUGCUGAAG
rnacentral:rRNA from 1 species